GCCAAACCCAGCAUCACACUUUGACCUGCCCGGGAACACAGUGGCUCCUGGGAAAUAACCACUAAAGUCUUGAAAUGUCUUGAGUGAUUGGAGGACCUUUAUUUUUCACGCCUGAUGCCUUAUGCUGAUGAGAUGACUCAGCAGGGGAUGGCCAGGCCAGAAAGACCAAAACUGUAUCCUGAGGUUUGAGUUUCUGAGCCAGGUGAUGUCAUCCUCCAGCUUGGCCGGCCUCUUUCUGGGAGCCUCUGGUGUGAAAGAGAGCAGAUUUAUUAAAAAUCAUCAACUUCAAAUUAUUUGGAUGGAAACAUUGCCAAAUCAUAGAGAUGUUUGCUACCACCCGCACACCAAGCAGCUGGGUAACUAGAAGUGCAGGAUCAGCUUAUUCACCUCCGAAAGCCUGCAUGCAACCACUGAGGCCGCCUCUAUUUUUUACAUAGUUCUACUUGGUGUAUGUAACCCCACAGAGAAACCUGGAAGAAUGCAUGAAACCUAGUAAGGCAACCAGCACAUGCAACAGAAUGAACCGUUUCUUUCCAUCUGAAUGCCUAAAUGUGGACUCUGAUCCUUUCUACCAAGUCCUAAGUUUGGGAAAAGAGGACAAGGACAGGGGCUCUGUCCCAUAUCAUAAUGUGCUUGUGAAUGGCUAAAAUUACAAUGCUGAGAUAAGUGUGUGUAAUAAAAUAAUUGCAC
rnacentral:lncRNA from 1 species